rnacentral:rRNA from 1 species
GAUGAACGCUGGCGGCGUGCCUAAUACAUGCAAGUCGAGCGAACAGACGAGGAGCUUGCUCCUCUGACGUUAGCGGCGGACGGGUGAGUAACACGUGGAUAACCUACCUAUAAGACUGGGAUAACUUCGGGAAACCGGAGCUAAUACCGGAUAAUAUAUUGAACCGCAUGGUUCAAUAGUGAAAGACGGUUUUGCUGUCACUUAUAGAUGGAUCCGCGCCGCAUUAGCUAGUUGGUAAGGUAACGGCUUACCAAGGCAGCGAUGCGUAGCCGACCUGAGAGGGUGAUCGGCCACACUGGAACUGAGACACGGUCCAGACUCCUACGGGAGGCAGCAGUAGGGAAUCUUCCGCAAUGGGCGAAAGCUUGACGGAGCAACGCCGCGUGAGUGAUGAAGGUCUUCGGAUCGGAAAACUCUGUUAUUAGGGAAGAACAAAUGUGUAAGUAACUAUGCACGUCUUGACGGUACCUAAUCAGAAAGCCACGGCUAACUACGUGC